rnacentral:rRNA from 1 species
CAGUAGCCGCGGGAAUACGAAGGGUGCAAGCGUUAAUCGGAAUUACCGGGCGUAAAGCGUGCGUAGGCGGUGAGUUAAGUCUGCUGUGAAAUCCCCGGGCUCAACCUGGGAAUGGCAGUGGAUACUGGCUCGCUAGAGUGUGUCAGAGGAUGGUGGAAUUCCCGGUGUAGCGGUGAAAUGCGUAGAGAUCGGGAGGAACAUCAGUGGCGAAGGCAGCCCCCUGGGCCAAUACUGACGCUCAUGCACGAAAGCGUGGGGAGCAAACAGGAUUAGAUACCCCCGUAGUCCCUGUCUCUUAUAU